GUGGGGAAUAUUGCGCAAUGGGCGAAAGCCUGACGCAGCGACGCCGCGUGAGGGAUGAAGGUUUUCGGAUCGUAAACCUCUGUCAGAAGGGAAGAAACUACAUUGUGCUAAUCAGCAGUGUACUGACGGUACCUUCAAAGGAAGCACCGGCUAACUCCGUGCCAGCAGCCGCGGUAAUACGGAGGGUGCAAGCGUUAAUCGGAAUUACUGGGCGUAAAGCGCACGUAGGCUGUAGUGUAAGUCAGGGGUGAAAUCCCACGGCUCAACCGUGGAACUGCCUUUGAUACUGCACAACUUGAAUCCGGGAGAGGGUGGCGGAAUUCCAGGUGUAGGAGUGAAAUCCGUAGAUAUCUGGAGGAACACCGGUGGCGAAGGCGGCCACCUGGACAGGUACUGACGCUGAGGCGCGAAAGCGUGGGGAGCAAACAGGAUUAGAUACCCCAGCAGUCC
rnacentral:rRNA from 1 species